AUUGAACGCUGGCGGCAUGCCUUACACAUGCAAGUCGAACGGCAGCACGGGCUUCGGUCUGGUGGCGAGUGGCGAACGGGUGAGUAAAGUAUCGGAACGUACCUUUCAGUGGGGGAUAACGUAGCGAAAGUUACGCUAAUACCGCAUAUUCUAUGAGCAGGAAAGCAGGGGAUCGCAAGACCUUGCGCUGAUUGAGCGGCCGAUAUCAGAUUAGCUAGUUGGUGGGGUAAAGGCCUACCAAGGCGACGAUCUGUGGCGGGUCUGAGAGGAUGAUCCGCCACACUGGAACUGAGACACGGUCCAGACUCCUACGGGAGGCAGCAGUGGGGAAUUUUGGACAAUGGGGGCAACCCUGAUCCAGCCAUGCCGCGUGAGUGAAGAAGGCCUUCGGAUUGUAAAGCUCUUUCGGCCGGGAAGAAAUCGCAUGGGCUAAUACCCUGUGUGGAUGACGGUACCGGAAUAAGAAGCACCGGCUAACUACGUGCCAGCCGCCGCAGUAACAC
rnacentral:rRNA from 1 species